rnacentral:rRNA from 1 species
GACGAACGCUGGCGGCGUGCCUAAUACAUGCAAGUAGAACGCUGAAGAGAGGAGCUUGCUCUUCUUGGAUGAGUUGCGAACGGGUGAGUAACGCGUAGGUAACCUGCCUUGUAGCGGGGGAUAACUAUUGGAAACGAUAGCUAAUACCGCAUAACAAUGGAUGACACAUGUCAUUUAUUUGAAAGGGGCAAUUGCUCCACUACAAGAUGGACCUGCGUUGUAUUAGCUAGUAGGUGAGGUAAUGGCUCACCUAGGCGACGAUACAUAGCCGACCUGAGAGGGUGAUCGGCCACACUGGGACUGAGACACGGCCCAGACUCCUACGGGAGGCAGCAGUAGGGAAUCUUCGGCAAUGGGGGCAAUCCUGACCGAGCAACGCCGCGUGAGUGAAGAAGGUUUUCGGAUCGUAAAGCUCUGUUGUAAGUCAAGAACGGGUGUGAGAGUGGAAAGUUCACACUGUGACGGUAGCUUACCAGAAAGGGACGGCUAACUACGUGCCAGCAGCCGCGGUAAUACGUAGGUCCCGAGCGUUGUCCGGAUUUAUUGGGCGUAAAGCGAGCGCAGGCGGUUUGAUAAGUCUGAAGUUAAAGGCUGUGGCUCAACCAUAGUUCGCUUUGGAAACUGUCAAACUUGAGUGCAGAAGGGGAGAGUGGAAUUCCAUGUGUAGCGGUGAAAUGCGUAGAUAUAUGGAGGAACACCGGUGGCGAAAGCGGCUCUCUGGUCUGUAACUGACGCUGAGGCUCGAAAGCGUGGGGAGCGAACAGGAUUAGAUACCCUGGUAGUCCACGCCGUAAACGAUGAGUGCUAGGUGUUGGAUCCUUUCCGGGAUUCAGUGCCGCAGCUAACGCAUUAAGCACUCCGCCUGGGGAGUACGACCGCAAGGUUGAAACUCAAAGGAAUUGACGGGGGCCCGCACAAGCGGUGGAGCAUGUGGUUUAAUUCGAAGCAACGCGAAGAACCUUACCAGGUCUUGACAUCCCGAUGCUAUUUCUAGAGAUAGAAAGUUACUUCGGUACAUCGGUGACAGGUGGUGCAUGGUUGUCGUCAGCUCGUGUCGUGAGAUGUUGGGUUAAGUCCCGCAACGAGCGCAACCCCUAUUGUUAGUUGCCAUCAUUCAGUUGGGCACUCUAGCGAGACUGCCGGUAAUAAACCGGAGGAAGGUGGGGAUGACGUCAAAUCAUCAUGCCCCUUAUGACCUGGGCUACACACGUGCUACAAUGGUUGGUACAACGAGUUGCGAGUCGGUGACGGCGAGCUAAUCUCUUAAAGCCAAUCUCAGUUCGGAUUGUAGGCUGCAACUCGCCUACAUGAAGUCGGAAUCGCUAGUAAUCGCGGAUCAGCACGCCGCGGUGAAUACGUUCCCGGGCCU